UACGUAGGGGGCGAGCGUUGUCCGGAAUGAUUGGGCGUAAAGGGCGCGUAGGCGGCGCGGUAAGUCUGGAGUGAAAGUCCUGCUUUCAAGGUGGGAAUUGCUUUGGAUACUGCCGCGCUUGAGUGCAGGAGAGGUUAUCGGAAUUCCCGGUGUAGCGGUGAAAUGCUUAGAGAUUACACAGAACACCGAUUGCGAAGGCAUCUCACGAAGGGUUGAUUGACGCUGAGGCACGAAAGCGUGGGGAUCAAACAGGAUUAGAUACCCUGGUAGUCCACGCAGUAAACGAUGAUGGCUAACCGCUGGUUUUUUCGGAUCAGUGGCCAAGCGAAAGCGAUAAGCCAUCCACCUGGGGAGUACGACCGCAAGGUUGAAACUCAAAUGAAUUGACGGGG
rnacentral:rRNA from 1 species